rnacentral:misc_RNA from 1 species
GAGUAAAUUGAGUGGUGGAAAUACAAAUUGUGAGAUUUGUUCCACCUUAUUCUCAUUUUAGUUUACAAAUAUUUAGAUUGGAGAAAACAGUAAAUUAAAUAAGAGCAACAUAUUUACAACUGUUGGACAUCAAACUACAACUCUCAGUACAAUGAAUGAAAGAAGUUGACCUAAGAGAACUAAUGCUCAUCCCAUCUGCCAUUUAAGAACUGGUUCUCCCUGGUUUGCAUUCGUUGCUUGCUUGGCAGCAGCUGCCAUUUGUGCACGUGCUGCUCUUCCUGCGGCAGAUUUUUCAUAUUGUUCUUGCCUUUUUUGGGCGGCUUCGGCAGCUCUGGCACGAGCUUCUUCGGAGGCUAAUUGUUCUUCUUCUCUCCUUUGUUCUCUUUUGCUGCCCCCAUCGAAGCAAUCGAAGCAUCCCAUCUUCUCUCUUCCUUUUCUCCAAAUACACCUUUUUC